ACCAGCAUGGCUUAGUCGUUUGAAUGUUGGACUGCGACUCUGGAGACUACGGUUCGAUUCCUUGCUGGGC